rnacentral:rRNA from 1 species
GCGAUCAUACCAGCACUAAUGCACCAGAUCCCAUCAGAACUCCAAAGUUAAGCGUGCUUGUCCGAGAGUAGUACUAGGAUGGGUGACCCCCUUGUAAGUCCUCGUGUUGCACCCC